GAUGAACGCUAGCGGCAGGCUUAAUACAUGCAAGUCGAGGGGCAGCACGGUUAGCAAUAACUGGUGGCGACCGGCGCACGGGUGCGUAACACGUAUACAAUCUACCUUAAACAGGGGGAUAGCCUUUCGAAAAGAGAGAUUAAUACCCCGUAAUAAAUUGAACGGCAUCGUUUGAUUUUGAAAGCUCCGGCGGUUUGAGAUGAGUAUGCGUCUGAUUAGCUAGUUGGUGAGGUAACGGCUCACCAAGGCGACGAUCAGUAGGGGAUCUGAGAGGACUAACCCCCACACUGGUACUGAGACACGGACCAGACUCCUACGGGAGGCAGCAGUAAGGAAUAUUGGUCAAUGGAGGCAACUCUGAACCAGCCAUGCCGCGUGCAGGAUGACGGCCCUAUGGGUUGUAAACUGCUUUUAUACAAGAGAAAACCCUGGUACGUGUACCAGGUUGAUAGUAUUGUAAGAAUAAGCAUCGGCUAACUUCGUGCCAGCAGCCGCGGUAAU
rnacentral:rRNA from 1 species